GCUCCCUGAUAUCAGCGGCGGACGGGUGAGUAACACGUGGGUAACCUGCCUGUAAGACUGGGAUAACUCCGGGAAACCGGGGCUAAUACCGGAUAACUCAUUUCCUCGCAUGAGGAAAUGUUGAAAGAUGGCUUCGGCUAUCACUUACAGAUGGACCCGCGGCGCAUUAGCUAGUUGGUGAGGUAACGGCUCACCAAGGCAACGAUGCGUAGCCGACCUGAGAGGGUGAUCGGCCACACUGGGACUGAGACACGGCCCAGACUCCUACGGGAGGCAGCAGUAGGGAAUCUUCCGCAAUGGACGAAAGUCUGACGGAGCAACGCCGCGUGAGUGAUGAAGGUUUUCGGAUCGUAAAGCUCUGUUGUUAGGGAAGAACAAGUGCCGUUCGAAUAGGGCGGCACCUUGACGGUACCUAACCAGAAAGCCACGGCUAACUACGUGCCAGCAGCCGCGGUAAUACGUAGGUGGCAAGCGUUGUCCGGAAUUAUUGGGCGUAAAGCGCGCGCAGGUGGUUCCUUAAGUCUGAUGUGAAAGCCCACGGCUCAACCGUGGAGA
rnacentral:rRNA from 2 species